rnacentral:rRNA from 1 species
UACGGAGGGGGCAAGCGUUGUCCGGAAUUAUUGGGCGUAAAGAGCUCGUAGGCGGUCUGUCGCGUCCGUUGUGAAAACUCGAGGCUCAACCUCGGGCUUGCAGUGGAUACGGGCAGACUAGAGUGCGGUAGGGGAGACUGGAAUUCCGUGGUGUAGCGGUGGAAUGCGUAGAGAUCCGGAAGAACACCGGUGGCGAAGGCGGCCUGCUGGGCAGUGGCUGACGCUGAGGCGCGACAGCGUGGGGAGCAAACAGG